rnacentral:rRNA from 1 species
UACGUAGGUGGCAAGCGUUGUCCGGAUUUACUGGGCGUAAAGGAUGCGUAGGCGGACAUUUAAGUCAGAUGUGAAAAUACCCCGAGCUUAACUUGGGGUGCUGCAUUUUGAAAACUGGGUGUCUAGAGUGCAGGAGAGGUAAGUGGAAUUCCUAGUGUAGCGGUGAAAUGCGUAGAGAUUAGGAAGAACACCAGUGGCGAAGGCGACUUACUGGACUGUAACUGACGCUGAGGCAUGAAAGCGUGGGGAGCAAACAGG